rnacentral:rRNA from 1 species
CCUACGGGAGGCAGCAGUGGGGAAUUUUGGACAAUGGGGGCAACCCUGAUCCAGCCAUGCCGCGUGAGUGAAGAAGGCCUUCGGGUUGUAAAGCUCUUUCAGCCGGGAAGAAAGCGCACUCUCUAACAUAGGGUGUGGAUGACGGUACCGGAAGAAGAAGCACCGGCUAACUACGUGCCAGCAGCCGCGGUAAUACGUAGGGUGCGAGCGUUAAUCGGAAUUACUGGGCGUAAAGGGUGCGCAGGCGGUUUUGUAAGACAGAUGUGAAAUCCCCGGGCUUAACCUGGGAACUGCGUUUGUGACUGCAAGGCUAGAGUACGGCAGAGGGGGGUGGAAUUCCGCGUGUAGCAGUGAAAUGCGUAGAUAUGCGGAGGAACACCGAUGGCGAAGGCAACCCCCUGGGCCUGUACUGACGCUCAUGCACGAAAGCGUGGGGAGCAAACAGGAUUAGAUACCCUGGUAGUCCACGCCCUAAACGAUGUCAACUAGUCGUUCGGAGCAGCAAUGCACUGAGUGACGCAGCUAACGCGUGAAGUUGACCGCCUGGGGAGUACGGCCGCAAGGUUAAACUCAAAGGAAUUGACGG